AGGCACUGGGAACUCUUCAAUCAAAGACUGGACCUAUUCCUGAUGGCUAACUCGACAGACCAUCCCAAGACAGGAGCGGUCAAGGCGGCCAUCCUCCUGAGCGCCGCGGGUGACGAAGCGCUUGAGGUCUAUAACAACUUCACAUUCGCCGAAGGGACGGCGCCUGCGCACCAACGUUCCGGAAUACAGCACUGAGCUGGGAUGCCCAGUAGUCAAGCAUCAACAGCAGGCCACGGGCAAAACGCUGCACCCUUUGCACUAAGGAGACACGGUAGGCAUACUGGACGACAACAGGUCACGUAAGGCAAGAGUGCUUCAAGAAGCGGCUCCCCGGUCCCACAUCGUGGAAACAGAGGAUGGAAGGCUUCUAAGGCGGAAGAGACAACACCUGCUUCAAACGCGGGAAAAAUGCCUCAGGGUAGACGAAUAUGACGACAACAGCAACGCUGAAAAUAGUAGCUUACAAAACGAAAGACAGGAGCCUCCAGAGCAAGGCCAAAGUGCACCCGGGUUAACUGAUCAUCCGCAAGCCAACAUACAGGUCUUCCCCAAAGUGGAGACAUCGGAAGCAGAGCCCCGCAGGUCGACCCGUCAGAGCAACAAGCCUCAACGGCUGCAAUACGAAGCGAAUUUCCGUCAAGUCUCCUAGCUUUCUUUUCUUGCCUUGUGGUCAUAAAGUCCUUUCUUUUUCGUUAAUGGAAAGGAGAUGUAUCAUACUUGGCCACCACGGAAGCAGACGAGCUGAUAGCAGCGCAUCCUUCUUUCCCCUAACCACUUCUGCGCAUGCGGCACUUUCUCACACGAAGAUAUAAAAGCAACCACAAUAAAGAGACGGCCAGUUUUUCGAUGCCCAACCACUGUGUGUGUCGACUUGCUCAGACGCGCACGAUACACUCCGAACCUAGAGACGUAGUGUACUGGAGGUGAAUGUGGACUUGCCACCUUCAGACUAAAAAAAAAAAUAAAGAAAAACAAGGAUUUCCA